UUACCACAGGGAUAACUGGCUUGUAGCAAAUGAGCGAUCAUAGCGACUUUGCUUUUUGAUUCUUCGAUGUCGUCUCUUCUGAUCAUCGUAGUGUAUAUGUUACGAAGUGUUGGAUUGUUCACCCGUUAAUGAGGAACGUGAGAUGGGUUUAGACCGUCGUGAGACAGGUUAGUUUUACCCUACUGUUUAUAUUAUUAAGAAAAGUUAUAUAGUACGAGAGGAACAAUAAGUGAUGACCUCUGGUGUAGCGAUUAAUUAUUCAAUUAUGUUGCAAAACUACGUCAUGAAUAAUAAAUGCUGAAAGCCUCUUAAGCAUGAAGUUAAUCUUAAUGAUAAGCAAUUGAGGA
rnacentral:ncRNA from 1 species